CAGGGGUAGCGGUCGGUCAGGGUUGCGAGAGGGGUGUCGCUCCAUCUGUGUGUGGGAAGAGCUUCACCCACUCCUGCAGCCUGUGAAGAAGUGCGUUCACGCUAGGGUGCCCUCCCCCACACAGCGGACUUCAAGUGACACCCGGGCACUUUUCUUCGCUGCCUCCCAGCUUUCUCCUUCCUCCUGGUCCAGGGGUUCUGGUGUAUGAGCCCUGAGUUGCAGGGAGGAGGAGUGCAUUUAUGGCUGGGGAAGCAUUCCCUACCCUCCUCCCAGACCUCGCCUUUCCUCACCACCACAUCACCCCUCUCCCAGACCUGCCCUGCCCAGUGGGGUCUGCAAGGACCUGCUUCUGCCACCCCCGGAGCCUUUUUGGCCUGUUUUGCUUUUCAGCCUGUGCAGAGCUGUGCCCCGCGGGGUGCGUGCUGCUCCCCUGCCCUCCUCCCCUUCGCUGGAUUCUCUCUCAUGCGUUCCCUGCUACUAAAGCCCAGAACUGGACGUGCCCCCCCUGCGGUUGAUCUCUGUGUCCUCUCCCGAGCUGUGCAGUGGGAACAGGCCUGGGCCCACAACCUUUCCAGGGCAGAUCUCUCUGUGACUUCCCAGCCCCUUCCCUUUCUAAAUGAUCCACCACAAUCCAGAGGUUGUUGCUAACCCUGGGAGCAGGACGGGGUCUGAUCCACCCACCCUGCUGCUGCCUGACUGGCUGCUCCCACCCCUUGUGCCCUCUUCCCACAGCAGGACACGGAGCUGGGUGAGCCAGCACCACAGCGUGAGCAAGUCUGGGCGAGCAAGUGGCAAGUGGCUCAACAGGUGCCCCAAGCCAGCACCGUCUGGCCUGUUCCUGCCCUCACCCACCACAGCCACCCAUCGGCACCAUGGAGUAGGACACCGAGAGGGCACCGAAUCAUCAAACCCGGGACUGGAAGAGACGUCGGGGCCGUCCAGUCACCCCCUGCUCGAGGCAGGAUCACCCCUACAAACCCGGCCAGCCAAGCAUCGACCCUGCUCUCACGCCUUGGCAAGCAUGGAGAUUGCACAACUCUCUGGGUAGCCCGUUUCCAUGCUCACAAAAACCUAAAAAAAUCACCCUCAUAUAGUGCGAAAGGUCUUGUAUCGAACCUAAAUGUCCCCUGCUGCAAUUCUUGAUUUCCUCUGAGUCUGUUUCUGUGGCUGAAGAAAACAGGACACGUCUCUGUCCUCUCCAUGGCCACCGCUCAGGGAUUUGAAGACAUCGAGCUCUCGAGGACUAAUCUCAGGACACAGUCGCUCAACCAAGAUCCGUCCGUCUUCCAGUCCGUUCAUCUAAAACGAAAGAGAUAGUGCCGUUAUGGUUAAGGAACCAGGCAGGAAAGGUAAAAUGAGGAUGGCAGAGGAGCACUACCUCAAGGCGCAGUAAGCAUGUGAUAUCCAUGAAAGAUCCUCUUCAGCCGCAGCUCUGGUGCACAGACAAUAAAUGGUGUUUGUUAGGA